rnacentral:snRNA from 1 species
AUUGCUUCUCAGCUUUUGGCUAAGAUCAAGUGUAGUAUCUUGGUAGGGUUUUUUGUUGAUGUUGUUUUUGCAGAAUUGGGGAUUACGCUCAGAACCUCCCAUAGGGUAUGUACUCUAAUACUGAGCUAACUACCUCUAACUUU